rnacentral:rRNA from 1 species
AACGAACGCUGGCGGCAUGCCUAACACAUGCAAGUCGAACGAGACCUUCGGGUCUAGUGGCGCACGGGUGCGUAACGCGUGGGAACCUGCCCUUAGGUUCGGAAUAACUCCCCGAAAGGGGUGCUAAUACCGGAUAAUGUCUUCGGACCAAAGAUUUAUCGCCUUUGGAUGGGCCCGCGUUGGAUUAGCUAGUUGGUAGGGUAAAAGCCUACCAAGGCGACGAUCCAUAGCUGGUCUGAGAGGAUGAUCAGCCACACUGGGACUGAGACACGGCCCAGACUCCUACGGGAGGCAGCAGUGGAGAAUAUUGGACGAUGGGCGAAAGCCUGAUCCAGCAAUGCCGCGUGAGUGAUGAAGGCCUUAGGGUUGUAAAGCUCUUUUACCCGGGAUGAUAAUGACAGUACCGGGAGAAUAAGCUCCGGCUAACUCCGUG